CUGAGGCACGCAAGUCAAACCCGACGAGAAUUAAGCAAUCACAGUUUUGGUGAUAACCCUCCCUGGGGCAGGAGAUAGCCACCAAAGAGAGGAAACGGUAGUAAUGUGCCUGGCCGCUCCGUUUUUUAAAGAGUCGUCAGUAUACUUUGGACUACUUCAUUUGAAUCUCGAUAUAUCUAUGGAUACAAAAAAAGUGCAAUUUGCAUGAAUAAGAGGUCUUUUAUUGUAUGACUUUGGAUUUUAUCUUUUCCUAAGAGUUUUCACAUAGGCACUGGCUUGCGAGGUCACCCUUACUAUUUUGACAAACUUCUGAAACAAAAUUCCACAGUUAAAACAAAAAGUGAGACUCGUGUCCCUCAUAUGAGGUUGCCCUUACUAUUUUGACAAACUUCUGAAACAAAAUUCCACACAGAGUUAAAACAAAAUUCGAGACUCGUGUUCCUCCUCAUAUUUUCGAAUUUUAACAUAUGCUAAAGAUUAUUAAUAGCUCCAAUGUCUGCACAUGAUUGUAUCAAGUAAUUCCUGUAUGACCUAAGUCAAGGCACAAGGCCAACCUUGAAUAAUGGAAAUUCAAAACAAACUUUCAUAAUAUGUUACAGAAAAGCUAGGCCCAGAAGAAGC
rnacentral:lncRNA from 1 species